rnacentral:rRNA from 1 species
GGAUCCAGACUUUGAUUCUGGCUCAGAUUGAACGCUGGCGGCAUGCCUUACACAUGCAAGUCGAACGGCAGCGCGGGGCAACCUGGCGGCGAGUGGCGAACGGGUGAGUAAUAUAUCGGAACGUGCCCUGGAGUGGGGGAUAACGCAGCGAAGGUUGCGCUAAUGCCGCAUACGAUCUAAGGAUGAAAGUGGGGGAUUCGCAAGAACCUCAUGCUCCUGGAGCGGCCGAUAUCUGAUUAGCUAGUUGGUGGGGUAAAGGCCUACCAAGGCAUCGAUCAGUAGCUGGUCUGAGAGGACGACCAGCCACACUGGAACUGAGACACGGUCCAGACUCCUACGGGAGGCAGCAGUGGGGAAUUUUGGACAAUGGGCGAAAGCCUGAUCCAGCAAUGCCGCGUGAGUGAAGAAGGCCUUCGGGUUGUAAAGCUCUUUUGUCAGGGAAGAAACGGUGAAGGCUAAUAUCCUUUGCUAAUGACGGUACCUGAAGAAUAAGCACCGGCUAACUACGUGCCAGCAGCCGCGGUAAUACGUAGGGUGCAAGCGUUAAUCGGAAUUACUGGGCGUAAAGCGUGCGCAGGCGGUUUUGUAAGUUUGUCGUGAAAGCCCCGGGCUCAACCUGGGAAUUGCGAUGAAGACUGCAAGGCUUGAAUCUGGCAGAGGGGGGUAGAAUUCCACGUGUAGCAGUGAAAUGCGUAGAGAUGUGGAGGAACACCGAUGGCGAAGGCAGCCCCCUGGGUCAAGAUUGACGCUCAUGCACGAAAGCGUGGGGAGCAAACAGGAUUAGAUACCCUGGUAGUCCACGCCCUAAACGAUGUCUACUAGUUGUCGGGUUUUAAUUAACUUGGUAACGCAGCUAACGCGUGAAGUAGACCGCCUGGGGAGUACGGUCGCAAGAUUAAAACUCAAAGGAAUUGACGGGGACCCGCACAAGCGGUGGAUGAUGUGGAUUAAUUCGAUGCAACGCGAAAAACCUUACCUACCCUUGACAUGUACGGAAGCCACGAGAGAUCGAGGUGUGCUCGAAAGAGAGCCGUAACACAGGUGCUGCAUGGCUGUCGUCAGCUCGUGUCGUGAGAUGUUGGGUUAAGUCCCGCAACGAGCGCAACCC